CCUACGGGCGGCUGCAGUGGGGGAUAUUGCACAAUGGAGGAAACUCUGAUGCAGCGACGCCGCGUGAGGGAAGACGGUCUUCGGAUUGUAAACUUCUGUCUUUGGGGAAGAAAAUGACGGUACCCAAAGAGGAAGCUCCGGCUAACUACGUGCCAGCAGCCGCGGUAAUACGUAGGGGGCGAGCGUUGUCCGGAUUUACUGGGUGUAAAGGGAGCGUAGGCGGGCGAGAAAGUUGAAUGUUAAGUCUAGCGGCUAAACUCGGAGCUGCGUGUGAAACUUUUUGUCUUGAGUGAAGGAGAGGCAAGCGGAAGUCCUAGUGUAGCGGUGAAAUGCGUAGAUAUUAGGAGGAACACCAGUGGCGAAGGCGGCCUGCUGGACUUUAACUGACGCUGAGGCUCGAAAGCGUGGGGAGCAAACAGGAUUAGAUACCCGAGUAGUC
rnacentral:rRNA from 1 species